UGGGGAAUAUUGCACAAUGGGCGCAAGCCUGAUGCAGCCAUGCCGCGUGUGUGAAGAAGGCCUUCGGGUUGUAAAGCACUUUCAGCGGGGAGGAAGGCGAUAAGGUUAAUAACCUUGUCGAUUGACGUUACCCGCAGAAGAAGCACCGGCUAACUCCGUGCCCGCAGCCGCGGUAAUACGGAGGGUGCAAGCGUUAAUCGGAAUUACUGGGCGUAAAGCGCACGCAGGCGGUCUGUCUAGUCGGAUGUGAAAUCCCCGCGCUCAACCUGAGAACUGCAUUCGAAACUGGCAGGCUAGAGUCUUGUAGAGGGGGGUAGAAUUCCAGGUGUAGCGGUGAAAUGCGUAGAGAGCUGGAGGAAUACCGGUGGCGAAGGCGGCCCCCUGGACAAAGACUGACGCUCAGGUGCGAAAGCGUGGGGAGCAAACAGG
rnacentral:rRNA from 1 species